GAUGAACGCUGGCGGCGUGCCUAAUACAUGCAAGUCGAGCGAACAGACGAGGAGCUUGCUCCUCUGACGUUAGCGGCGGACGGGUGAGUAACACGUGGAUAACCUACCUAUAAGACUGGGAUAACUUCGGGAAACCGGAGCUAAUACCGGAUAACAUGUUGAACCGCAUGGUUCAACAGUGAAAGACGGUUUUGCUGUCACUUAUAGAUGGAUCCGCGUCGCAUUAGCUAGUUGGUAAGGUAACGGCUUACCAAGGCAACGAUGCGUAGCCGACCUGAGAGGGUGAUCGGCCACACUGGAACUGAGACACGGUCCAGACUCCUACGGGAGGCAGCAGUAGGGAAUCUUCAGCAAUGGGCGAAAGCCUGACGGAGCAACGCCGCGUGAGUGAAGAAGGUCUUCGGAUCGUAAAACUCUGUUAUUAGGGAAGAACAAAUGUGUAAGUAACUAUGCACGUCUUGACGGUACCUAAUCAGAAAGCCACAGCUAACUACGUG
rnacentral:rRNA from 1 species